CCAACCUAAAGUUAUACAAAUUUACAUAAAUUUUCCCACUCACUUUAGAGCAAUUCAAAUGAGGUACAGCCCAUUUGAUACAGGAUCCAACCUUUACUAACGGGUAAUAUCUGACUCCACCCCCAAGUAGGCUUAAGAGCAGCCACCUUUUAAAAAGCGUCAAACCUUAACGUAUUAACACCAAUUCACAACCCCCCAUCAACCCCUUUCACCCUACUGAGAAAUUCUAUAACAUUAUAGAACCUUUAAUGUUAAAACUAGUAACAAGAGAUACACCCUCUCUAUAAUGCAAACUCAAACCAGCAAGAACCUAUCACUGGUGAUUAACAGAAACAAAGUAGUAACUUUCUCAAGAAAACUCUACCCCCUCAACUGUUAACCUAACACAAGAGCAUCCCAAGAAAGAUUUAAAGAAAAAGAAGGAACUCGGCAAACAUAAAUCUCGCCUGUUUACCAAAAACAUCGCCUCUUGUCACCUAUAAGAGGUCCAGCCUGCCCAGUGACUCUUGUUCAACGGCCGCGGUAUCCUAACCGUGCGAAGGUAGCGUAAUCACUUGUCUUUUAAAUAAAGACUAGUAUGAAAGGCACCACGAAGAUUAAACUGUCUCCUCUCUCCAAUCAGUGAACCUAAUCUCCCCGUGAAA
rnacentral:rRNA from 1 species